rnacentral:rRNA from 1 species
CAAUAGCGUAUAUUAAAGUUGUUGCAGUUAAAAAGCUCGUAGUUGGAUUUCUGGUGGGAGCGAUCGGUCUGGCGCUUAGCGCGAGUACUUGCAUCGUCUCCGGCCAUCCUUGGGGAGAGUCUGUCUGGCAUUAAGUUGUCGGGCAGAGGAUCCUCAUCGUUUACUGUGAAAAAAUUAGAGUGUUCAAAGCAGGCUUAUGCCGUUGAAUAUAUUAGCAUGGAAUAAUAAGAUAGGACUUUGGUACUAUUUUGUUGGUUUGCGCACCAAAGUAAUGAUUAAUAGGGACAGUUGGGGGUAUUCGUAUUCCGUUGUCAGAGGUGAAAUUCUUGGAUUUACGGAAGACGAACUACCGCGAAAGCAUUUACCAAGGAUGUUUUCAUUAA